rnacentral:lncRNA from 1 species
AAAUCUGAUCUAAAGCUCUAAGUUAGAACCUUUGUUUCAUACCUGAGCCAUUUUGAUCUAGAUUAGCAUUCGGGGACCCUUCGUGCCGUUUGAUAUCCCAUGAUCUCUAGCAUUGUGUGAUUAUUACACAAGGAAUUCAAAGCAAUCUCAGCUUAUGGAGAUGAUGCAUAGGAUUUAUCAAGAUAUACUUAGGCGGACCUGUGCCUUAGUGACUUAAAACGAGACAAGAACUAGUUAAUUUAUGUUAUGUACUCUUUGGUUCUUGUUUAAACAAUGUA